AGGCGGCAAAGCAAGUCAGAAGUGAAAGCCCCGCGGCUCAACUGCGGGACUGCUUUUGAAACUGUUUAGCUAGAGUACUGGAGGGGCAAGCGGAAUUCCUGGUGUAGCGGUGAAAUGCGUAGAUAUCAGGAAGAACACCGGAGGCGAAGGCGGCUUGCUGGACAGAGACUGACGCUGAGGCACGAAGGCGUGGGGAGCAAACAGGAUUAGAUACCCUGGUAGUCCACGCGGUAAACGAUGAUUACUAGGUGUCGGGAGGGAAGCCCUUUCGGUGCCGCCGCUAACGCAAUAAGUAAUCCACCUGGGGAGUACGUUCGCAAGAAUGAAACUCAAAGGAAUUGACGGGGACCCGCACAAGCAGAGGAGCAUGUGGCUUAAUUCGAUGCAACGCGAAGAACCUUACCUGGAUUUGACAUCGUCGGCAAGGCCCUAUGAAAGUAGGGCGGAGGUUAUCCGAUAGACAGGUGCUGCAUGGCUGUCGUCAGUUCGUGCCGUGAGGUGUUUGGUUAAGUCCACCAACGAACGCAACCCCUUUGGUAUGUUGCCAUCAGGUAAUGCUGGGAACUCGUACCAUACUGCCUGUUUACGCAGGAGGAAGGUGGGGAUGACGUCAAGUCAGUAUGGCCCUUACAUCCAGGGCUGCACACGUGCUACAAUGGCCGGUACAGAGGGACGCGAGACCGCAAGGUGGAGCCAAUCCCAGAGAGCCGGCCUCAGUUCAGAUCGGGGUCUGCAACCCGACCCCGUGAAGUCGGAUUUGCUAGUAACGGCGUAUCAGCUACGACGCCGUGAAUGCGUUCCCGGGCCUUGUACACACCGCCCGUCA
rnacentral:rRNA from 1 species